rnacentral:tRNA from 2 species
GCUGUUUUGGCAGAUAAGUGCAAUGGAUUUAGAAUCUAUAAAUGUAAUUUAAAUUACAAAUAGUA